AUUCAGCUGACGAGUCCUAAAUAAGAUGGAACGCGCUUCCUGGAU
rfam:Schistosoma curassoni strain Dakar, Senegal genome assembly, scaffold: SCTD_scaffold0004475